rnacentral:rRNA from 1 species
GAGUUUGAUCCUGGCUCAGGAUGAACGCUAGCGGCAGGCCUAACACAUGCAAGUUGAGGGGCAGCAUAGGGUAGCAAUACCCUGAUGGCGACCGGCAGACGGGUGAGUAACGCGUAUGCAACCUACCCUGUACAGGGGGAUAACCCGGAGAAAUUCGGACUAAUAUCCCAUAGUAAUAUCCGGAGGCAUCUUUGGAUAUUUAAAGUUCCGGCGGUACGGGAUGGGCAUGCGUAACAUUAGCUAGUUGGUAGGGUAACGGCCUACCAAGGCUAUGAUGUUUAGGGGUCCUGAGAGGGUGAUCCCCCACACUGGUACUGAGACACGGACCAGACUCCUACGGGAGGCAGCAGUGAGGAAUAUUGGUCAAUGGGCGCAAGCCUGAACCAGCCAUCCCGCGUGCAGGAAGACGGCCCUAUGGGUUGUAAACUGCUUUUCCAGGGAGAGAAACCUGCGCACGUGUUGCGCAAUUGACGGUACCCUGGGAAUAAGCAUCGGCUAACUCCGUGCCAGCAGCCGCGGUAAUACGGAGGAUGCAAGCGUUAUCCGGAUUCAUUGGGUUUAAAGGGUGCGUAGGCGGACUAUUAAGUCAGUGGUGAAAGCCUGCAGCUUAACUGCAGAACUGCCAUUGAUACUGAUAGUCUUGAGUUUGGUUAAGGUAGGCGGAAUGUGUAAUGUAGCGGUGAAUGCUUAGAUAUUACACAGAACACCAAUUGCGUAGGCAGCUUACUGAGCCGACACUGACGCUGAAGCACGAAAGCGUGGGGAUCGAACAGGAUUAGAUACCUGGUA